rnacentral:rRNA from 1 species
GUCACACCAUGGGAGCUGGUAACACCCGAAGUCAGUAGUCUAACCGCAAGGAGGACGCUGCCGAAGGUGGGAUUAGCGACCUGGGGUGAAGUCGUAACAAGGUACC